AGAGCACAACAACACAGAGAAGCAAGAACGCAACAACCGCGAAAAUGUCGCAAACGUAGAAUGUGUCAAAAACAGAGCUGCAACCAUACGCUAUGUCAUGAUUGUUAAUAAACUUGCUAUAUUAUUUGUGAAGGUGCUGCUACAUGUUUAUACAAAGAUAGUGAAGACCACAUGCAUUAGUCCAAAGGAUCAUGAACAAUUGAACUCUUUCACACAAACAGGUGCUGCUAAUAAAUUUGAGCUAUAUUAUUAGUGAAAAAGGUAUUGCUAAUCGAUAGUAUACAGAUAUGGAUACGGACACUGACACGCCGCCGACACCACUAAUAAUUUAAGAAAUCAUAUAAUUAUGUGUAAUUGUAUAUGUCGGUGACGUGUCGGUGACACGUAAUCCGAACAUGCUUCAUUGACUGAGUUUCGAUAUAAUGUAUCAACCAACUAACAUCCAAUGACAUGGUCAUUCAAAUCCAAAAAAAAAAAAACCAAAAUCAUUAAUUGAUGCCAAAAAGCUAAUUCAAACCAAAAUCAUUACAUCUAAAACUCACGAAAUAAUUCAGUACUUUAUAAACUAGCCCAAUCAAAUUUAUUGAAUUUAUCAUACAUAAACUGUGUUUCUAUAUUUGUUAAUAGACUAUAUUUAUGUGAGAAUUUACCAGCUAUAACCAAAAUAAAUUAACUUUUUUCUUUAAGCUAAACUUUUUUCAGGGUUUGCUUUUAAUGAACUAAACGAUGCUUGUUUCAAUAGGCAAAACAAAAUGAAAUUUUGAUACAUUACAUUCUUUAGAUUCUUUCAUGGUGUUGGCUGAAGCAAAAUUAGAUUCAUGGUAUCAAUUAAUGAGUUGGGGUUGGUUAUCAAAUUUCAGCACCCACAAAACACCCACAAAAGGGAUGAAGAAGAAAAAUUUAACUAAAUUCAACAAAAAGUUGAACAAAAAAUUAAUUAUAAUCAACCGAAAAGCAGAAAAAAAAAUUAAAAUAUGGAUGAAGAAGAGAAGAAGAAGAAGAAGAAUUACAUGGAUCUUUUGUUAUUUGAGAUGAGCAGGAAGAAGAUCUUCUCUGUUGAAGUUCUGGAAAUGAGCGGAAAAAGAGAAGAAGAACAACGAGAAGGUUGGAUCGGAUUCGGAUCGAGAGCGAUAUGAGGUUCGAGGGUCACAUGAUUUUUCGAUUCAGAACUUGAGUGAAUGAUUUUUUUGUACGAGGGUCACAUGGAUGAACUUCGAAUGGAUAAGGGUUUGAGUGAAUGAACUUGAGUGUAGUGAAUGAACUUAGAGUGGAUUAAGUUUACGUUAAGUGAAUGAAAUU
rnacentral:lncRNA from 1 species